CUCUUUCGGCGGCGGCUGCUGGCUUCAUUGCUGGCGGCUGCUGUUGGGAGAGCUCUAUCAUGGCGAGCGUUUGGGCUUCGGUCUGAACUAGUAGCUUUUUUAAACCCAUUCUUUAUAACUGAUUAUACUGUAGGGACGAAAGUCUCUGCUUUUAACUAGAUAGCAACUUUCAGCAGUGGAUGUCUAGGCUCGCACAUCGAUGAAGAACGCUGCGAACUGCGAUACGUAAUGCGAAUUGCAGGAUUCAGUGAGUCAUCGAAAUUUUGAACGCAUAUUGCACUUCCGGGUUAGUCCUGGGAGUAUGCCUGUAUCAGUGUCCGUACAUCAAACUUGGUUUUCUUCCUUCCGUGUAGUCGGUGGUGGAUGUGCCAGAUGUGAAGUGUCUUGCGGCUGGUCUUCGGAUCGGCUGUGAGUCCUUUGAAAUGUACUGAACUGUACUUCUCUUUGCUCCAAAAGCGUGGCGUUGCUGAUUGUGGAGGCUGCUUGCGUAGCCAGUCUGGCGACCAGUUUGUCUGCUGUGGCGUUAAUGGAGGAGUGUUCGAUUCGCGGUAUGGUUGGCUUCGGCUGAACAGACGCUUAUUGAAUAUUUCUUCAGCUGUGGUGGUAUG
rnacentral:rRNA from 1 species